GAGAACAGAAGCAGCCUGUCCUAGUUACUCAAAGUGUGGGCAGAGGAAUGACUGGAUGCCCUGCCUCCAGACUCACGCUGAGUCCCACCCCGAACCACACUGCAGUGCCACCCUGCCACCUCUUGGACAGAGUGCCCCAGGAGCAGCCCCAGAAGAAAGCCUCAGGAGGCCAGCAUGUCUCUGGGCAACAGAACAAACCGCCGACUGGCCUGGGAGGGCAGGCUUCCAAGGGUCCUCGUGGCUACCCAGCCCAUCUGCUCAGCCAACUGCUUGCAUCUGGAACUCCAGUUUAAUCAUGAAAAAAACAUCUGACAAACCCAAAUGGAGGAACACCCACAAAAUGCCUCGUCACUGCUUUUCAAAAGGGCCAAGGUCAUGAAAACCGAGAAAGAACUGAGAAACCAUCUCACAUCGGAGGAGGCACGAUGGCUAAAUGCACCCCGGUCGCCCUGGACUGGAUCCGGAAAUAGUAAAAGUGCAUUAGUGGAAAACUGGUG
rnacentral:lncRNA from 1 species